rnacentral:rRNA from 1 species
CUACGGGGGGCAGCAGUGAGGAAUAUUGCACAAUGGGGGGAACUCUGAUGCAGCAACGCCGCGUGGAGGAUGACGCAUUUCGGUGCGUAAACUCCUUUUAUAUGUCAAGAUAAUGACGGUAGCAUAUGAAUAAGCACCGGCUAACUCCGUGCCAGCAGCCGCGGUAAUACGGAGGGUGCAAGCGUUACUCGGAAUCACUGGGCGUAAAGGACGCGUAGGCGGGUUGGAAAGUCAGGUGUGAAAUCCUACAGCUUAACUGUAGAACUGCACUUGAAACUUCUAAUCUAGAGUAUGGGAGGGGGAGAUGGAAUUAGUGGUGUAGGGGUAAAAUCCGUAGAUAUCACUAGGAAUACCUAAAGCGAAGGCGAUCUCCUGGAACAUUACUGACGCUAAGGCGUGAAAGCGUGGGGAGCAAACAGGAUUAGAUACCCCGGUAGUC